UCACAAAAGGAGAAGAAAGGAGACCUGGAAAGGGAAGGAAGGGAGCCAAACAGCAGCCCAACAACUGUUCCUUGGCCCUACAUUAUGUUGUCCAACCAACGUCAGCCGAAAUGAUUAAAAUGCUAGCAGAGAUGACUUGGAACCAGACUGGAAAGAAGAGCACACUGUGAUAUAAUACACAGCUCCCUUGAGAACCUGGCAUUCCUAAACGAAGUAUGUCUCAUCUGAUCAGCCUGUGAGUAGACAACUAUAUCUCCUCUGCAUGGAAAGGCAAUGCAAUAUCUAGCAGAGAUGAAUGAAAGGGAGAAAAUAAGGAGAUCAUAGCCGGUUUUCUUUGAAGAUGUCAGAACUAACUACGCAAAGUGAGGAGGAGUUUCAGCAGAUCUCACAUGCCUCUCAAAAUGCUGGAGCCCGAUUAUUUAUAUCUGGAUCCGGUGCCGACCUGGAGAGAAUCCAGAUGAUCGCAGUGAUCCAAACCUAAAGGACUGGGAAAUCCAAUAUGUUGCUGCUUCGAAGUAAAUCCAAUUGCUUUCGUUUUUGAGAAACCAGAAAUGACUUUCAGGUCACUUUCAGUUUUGUCGGAGGUGAUUAGUAAGUUUACAAUGGGAGAUGGCCACCAAAUUCUCUGUGUGGUUGUCAUUCCCCCAGAAUAGACUGGACUGGAACUGAUCCAGUCAUGAAACUCUGGCCUACAUUGCAGGGUUGUUGUGAGAAUACGACAAUAGGGAGAAGGAACAACCUGUAUGCUGUCUUGAUCUCAUUGGAGAAAAGGUGAGAUAGCAGUGUCACUAAUAAAAUAAAGAUGCAUUUCAGCACAUAAGGAGUUGGAAAUUCAGAAGUCAGAAGCUGAAGGCAUUCCGUUUUCUGCGCUGAGCCAAUUAACAUUGCCUAAGAAAAGCUUUUUAAACACUUCCCACUCACAAGCGCAGUGCAAGCAAGUUGGUGGCAAUCGCAGUGCAUAAUUAGGAACGGUGCAGCUGUUAAGACAUAACCCACAACAUGUUUGCAUAUUGAUAUAUUUCCUCUCCUUUUCGGCAGUUCAGGAAA